rnacentral:lncRNA from 1 species
UAACUUCAGGAUACAGGAAUUAAGAACAUAGAUUCCUGGGUAAGCUUAUAUAAAACGAUGAUGCUUCCAGCUCCAGUAAAGACAUCUGCUGAGAGCUUCAAACAAUUCAGGAAAGCGGUAUUAGAGAAAAAGGAUGGGCAAGCCCAGGAAUUAAAAAGGCCUCUGGUGCAAGCUGAGAGGGAACUGCAAAACCUUCCUCAAGAAAAAGAGAGGAGCCAUGAAGGCACAGGAUUGGAUGUCAUAGCAAUAAAAGACUCUGAGUCCCCAGAAGAAGAGGAUAAGACCAAACAACUGUCAGAAGCUCAACAACACGCUCUCGUUCAAGACCGUAACUUGGCUAGAAAAAUGGAACAAGAACGCAGAAGGAGAGAAGCAAUGGCUUGCACAAUUGAUAUGAAUUUGCAGAGUGACAUUAUGGCAAGUUUUGAAGAAAGUCUUGAAUGAAAGCUGUAGUUAAUGUAGAACUUAACCUCGACACUACUACCAGCCGCACAACUUUGAAAAUGUACUAGUUAUGAGUUUAAACAUUGUCUACUUUAAAGCGCUUCUAAGCUCCUGUAAAAUGCUUAAUAUUAAAAGCUUGUUCAUCGACACAAGCAUCAUAAGAAUUUUUUUCUUGUUUACAAUGUAAUCUAGCCCACUGUGCAAUGGAACAUCAUUGUUUUUUUGAUUACUGUUUCAUGUUUUGUGUGUAUACAUGAGAAAAUAUCAGCUUCUUUAUUUUUUUCUCUUUUGCUUUAAUCCAUUUUUCAGAAACAAUUGAGAACAUUACACUGUGCAUGGCCAAAUUCUCAUGCUUGUAUUAAGUCAGCGUACUCGAUAUGCACCUAUAGAAACUACUUUAAAUCCCAGUCUUGUCAAUUACGUGAUUUCCAUUAGGAGAAUCAUUUACUAUGAUGCAUUUGCACAGAAUCUGGGCUGUGACAAAAGACAUAAUGAAAAUUUCUACAGGAUGUGUAAUGCUACUCAUAAUCAGAAAACAAUAUUUCCUGGAAAUCUGUAAUUUCAGCAGCAAAUCUAACUCACAAAUCCUGUAUAUUCACAUGUAUUGAGACAUAGACAUGCUGAUCUUUUGUUGAAUGUAUUUUAUGCUAACAUAACGUUUAGAUAAGUGUCCAAGCAUGUUUGCCAGAUGGUUCUGAUUCUUCAUGGGAAGAAAUUAAAAUAUUGUACUUCUGGCUCCAGUUUGAAAGGCUUUCUGAUUAAUGCAAGAUUCUAAUAAUGUUGGGAUACUUAUCUGAAGUAGGAACUAGUCUAAAAGACCUAUUUUCUUCUUGGUUACAUAUAGCUUUCUCAGUAAACCAAGUACAGGACUAGCCUGACUUCUCUUUGAAGAAUUAAUACCAAAAUAUAAUGUGUACUAUAGAAAAGUUGGGGAAGAAGAGCCCCCCUCAAGAUAAUCUAGUUCAACAGUUUGCAAACCUUUUUGAUCAUCAGUAAAAAAAAUAAAUGAAAAAAUAAAGCAUGCA